CAUUUUUCCACAUAAAGACUUUAGAUGUAUGGACAGUUGAGACGUCUGAUUUGAUCCACGACGGGUAUCUAUGGAGGAAAUAUGGUUAGAGACCGAUUCUCGACUCCAAAUUCCCCAGGAAGUACUACAGGUGCGUUCACCAGAUCGAUCAGGAAUGUCAAGCAACCAAGCUGGUCCAAAGGACAUCGCAUGACCCACGCCUUUUCCUGAUCAGAUGCUGAGGCCGCCACACUUGCAAGAUCAUCCUCAAAUCCCCCCCACUCAUCCUGGACUCACCAAGCCCUAGGGACGACUCCACCCCCUUAAGUUUCAACACUAGCCUCAUUGCCGAACAAGACAACGACGACAACAACAACCCCAUCUUUUUCGACUUUCUAUCAGUGAAUGAGGAGCAAAAGUUGCCCAGUGAGGAUGAUCUGAACCCCCGCAGCCACAGCCACGACGACAAUGGCAACAACAACAAUCAAUCCGCAUGAACCGAUUACUACGCCAUACUCGAAUCUGCUGGGGAGAUCUAAGCCCUGUCGUCAGAUCAAGGGAUGUGAUGUUUAGUGUUUAGGGUCUCAACAGUGCUGAUAUGAUUGUGGGGUUUGAGUUUGAUGAUCUGUCGGAUUAUGAACUUCAA